rnacentral:rRNA from 1 species
CUAUGUGUUGUUGGGUAGGGGAGCGUUCUGUAAGCCUGUGAAGGUGUACUGUGAGGUAUGCUGGAGGUAUCAGAAGUGCGAAUGCUGACAUAAGUAACGAUAAAGCGGGUGAAAAGCCCGCUCGCCGGAAGACCAAGGGUUCCUGUCCAACGUUAAUCGGGGCAGGGUGAGUCGACCCCUAAGGCGAGGCCGAAAGGCGUAGUCGAUGGGAAACAGGUUAAUAUUCCUGUACUUGGUGUUACUGCGAAGGGGGGACGGAGAAGGCUAUGUUGGCCGGGCGACGGUUGUCCCGGUUUAAGCGUGUAGGCUGGUUUUCCAGGCAAAUCCGGAAAAUCAAGGCUGAGGCGUGAUGACGAGGCACUACGGUGCUGAAGCAACAAAUGCCCUGCUUCCAGGAAAAGCCUCUAAGCAUCAGGUAACAUCAAAUCGUACCCCAAACCGACACAGGUGGUCAGGUAGAGAAUACCAAGGCGCUUGAGAGAACUCGGGUGAAGGAACUAGGCAAAAUGGUGCCGUAACUUCGGGAGAAGGCACGCUGAUAUGUAGGUGAAGUCCCUCGCGGAUGGAGCUGAAAUCAGUCGAAGAUACCAGCUGGCUGCAACUGUUUAUUAAAAACACAGCACUGUGCAAACACGAAAGUGGACGUAUACGGUGUGACGCCUGCCCGGUGCCGGAAGGUUAAUUGAUGGGGUUAGCGCAAGCGAAGCUCUUGAUCGAAGCCCCGGUAAACGGCGGCCGUAACUAUAACGGUCCUAAGGUAGCGAAAUUCCUUGUCGGGUAAGUUCCGACCUGCACGAAUGGCGUAAUGAUGGCCAGGCUGUCUCCACCCGAGACUCAGUGAAAUUGAACUCGCUGUGAAGAUGCAGUGUACCCGCGGCAAGACGGAAAGACCCCGUGAACCUUUACUAUAGCUUGACACUGAACAUUGAGCCUUGAUGUGUAGGAUAGGUGGGAGGCUUUGAAGUGUGGACGCCAGUCUGCAUGGAGCCGACCUUGAAAUACCACCCUUUAAUGUUUGAUGUUCUAACGUUGACCCGUAAUCCGGGUUGCGGACAGUGUCUGGUGGGUAGUUUGACUGGGGCGGUCUCCUCCUAAAGAGUAACGGAGGAGCACGAAGGUUGGCUAAUCCUGGUCGGACAUCAGGAGGUUAGUGCAAUGGCAUAAGCCAGCUUGACUGCGAGCGUGACGGCGCGAGCAGGUGCGAAAGCAGGUCAUAGUGAUCCGGUGGUUCUGAAUGGAAGGGCCAUCGCUCAACGGAUAAAAGGUACUCCGGGGAUAACAGGCUGAUACCGCCCAAGAGUUCAUAUCGACGGCGGUGUUUGGCACCUCGAUGUCGGCUCAUCACAUCCUGGGGCUGAAGUAGGUCCCAAGGGUAUGGCUGUUCGCCAUUUAAAGUGGUACGCGAGCUGGGUUUAGAACGUCGUGAGACAGUUCGGUCCCUA